rnacentral:tmRNA from 1 species
GGGGUUGACUGGAAUUGACGGGAAGAUUAAAUCUAAUGUAAGCAUGCGAGGUGUUGUAAGUAUUACCUCUAACAUAAAACUUACAUAGUGAAUAACUGGCAACUUAGUAGCUGUUAUCAACUCUCGCCGUCGCAUGUAUAGUCUCUUAGAUUCAGAAGAAGAAGAGGACGAUGAUAUGCGUUUGGCUGCUUAAUCGAUAGAUUAAGGAGGGUUUGUCUCUCUACUCUUUGUUCUGUGGGGGUAGUAAGAGGCAUCGGUACAUAGAACUGGUGCAACUAGAUGCGUGAUAGAAGCAUGAGAACAAACUGCGCAUAAGGAUAACAUUAGGUGUGUUACUGACCUUAGUUAUCCUGACAAUAAAUAGCAACUAAGCAUGUAGAAAGCGUUUUGGUUUUCUUGUUCGGACGAGGGUUCGACUCCCUCCAACUCCACUU